GAUGAACGCUGGCGGCGUGCCUAAUACAUGCAAGUCGAGCGAACAGACGAGGAGCUUGCUCCUCUGACGUUAGCGACGGACGGGUGAGUAACACGUGGAUAACCUACCUCUCAGACUGGGAUAACUUCGGGAGACCGGAGCUCAUACCGGAUAAUAUAUUGAACUGCAUGGUUCAAUAGUGAAAGACGGUUUUGCUGUCACUUAUCGAUGGAUCCGCGCGGCAUUAGCGAGUUGGUAAGGUAACGGCCUACCAAGGCAACGAUGCGUAGACGACCUGGGAGAGUGAUCGGCCACCUGGGAAGUUAGACACGCUCCAGACUCCUGCGGGAGGCCGCAGUAGGGUAUCGUCCGCAAUGGGCGAGAGCCUUACAGAGCAACGCCGCGUGAGUGAUGAAGGUCUUCGGAUCGUAAAACUCUGUUAUUAGUGAAGAACAAAUGUGUAAGUAACUAUGCACGUAGUGACGGUACCUGAUCAAAAAGCCACGGCUAACUACGUG
rnacentral:rRNA from 1 species